CCUACGGGAGGCAGCAGUGGGGAAUUUUGGACAAUGGGGGCAACCCUGAUCCAGCCAUGCCGCGUGAGUGAAGAAGGCCUUCGGGUUGUAAAGCUCUUUCGGCCGGAACGAAAUCGCGUACGUGAAUAACGUGCGUGGAUGACGGUACUGGAAGAAGAAGCACCGGCUAACUACGUGCCAGCAGCCGCGGUAAU
rnacentral:rRNA from 2 species